UACGGAGGGUGCUAACGUUAUCCGGAAUCACUGGGCGUAAAGCGCGUGUAGGUGGCCCCGCCAGUGGAUGACUAAAUACCGACGCCUAACGUCGGGACCGUUGUCCAUACUACGGGGCUUGAGAAAUGCAGGGGCAAGCGGAACUUUGGGUGUAGGGGUGAAAUCCGUAGAUAUCCAAAGGAACACCAAUGGCGAAGGCAGCUUGCUGGGCAUUUUCUGACACUGAGACGCGAAAGCGUGGGGAGCGAACGGG
rnacentral:rRNA from 1 species